rnacentral:lncRNA from 1 species
GGGCUAAUGAAGGAAGCCAGAUCCACCUGCUCAUGCCCCUGAGAUGGGGGGCCGAUGGUGCCCAUGAGCUGUGAGGAGAGGAGUGGACCAGGAGGUCAUUUGGAAGAAGAAAUUUCCACCUAAAGGAAGAGAGGUUAGGCCAGAAGGGAAAAAAAAUAAAAAGCAAAAAUAAAGUACAACAGAACUUCUUUUAUUGUGUUGCUCUCAUUUUAUCCUGCUUCCAGGAACAUAAUCUCAGAGAGUACAACAAAUGCUACAUGUGAUUCUUUCCAAGUUUUCUGUGGAAGUUGGAUCAAAACCUUGGGUUUCUUGAUGUUCUCAGCCAACAGAACACCUUGAUGCUCACUGUGGCAACUUCCUAAAUGGUUCCCUAGGGAUCUGAAGAGCUAAGGCAGAGCCCAGCGCACAGGGAAUUGAGGAUCAUGCUCCAACUACACCCUGGGGAAACUUCUGUGUAUUGAGCUGGGAGAAGAGAAAUUUUAGAUUAAACUAGUUAUUGGCUAUAUUUAAUUGAUUUGUGAUUGGAUUAUGUAAGACAUGAAAGGAUCCUUACAGAUACGACAGCACACUCUCCUGGUUUUAGAGGAGGAAAUUGAGGCGUAAGAGGUCACAGGCUCCAGUUCACACACAGAAACCUACUCUCAGAAAACCCAUUGAAGUCCCUGUUUUACAACUAACAUAAUGGGCGUGUGGAAAUGCCUCUCCAUCCACCAGGGGGCAGAAACGAACCCUUUGAUUGGCCAGAGAUCUUUGGACUUCAACUUUGAUUUGGAAUAGUUGUAAUUUGCAUAGCCUUUUCACUCUCAGACAUCACUCUUUCUGUCACUAGGAACAUAACCAUAUAGACUUUUCAAAGAAACCUCUUAAUUCUGUGUGAAACUCUAAACUUCACUCUACCAAUAAACUUCCCCACAUUCACACUAGAGAGAUGUGAUGGGAAUGCUGGGUCUUACAUAUGGUGGUCUUCAUAUUUUCGUGGAUUUGUCUUUUGAGGCAUGGAGUGCCUGACCUUUGCGUAUGCAAGAUUCGCUAGCAUGUAAACUCUGUCACUGUCUCCCAAGAACACAGAAACAGGGCUAUUAAUAAUUUUAAUGCUUACUGUUUUGUGUAGCUUUUUUUGCAGAAACUGUCUAUUAAAAAGUCAAAUUUGGUGGUGCUUUUCUUGUGUUUUUGGUGGGGAGGCGGACCGCUUCCUGGAAGGAAGGGAUGUGUGUAAUGUAUAUAAAGUCACCUUGUGCUAUUCUCAUUCAGUUUAGCACCGUGCUGCUCAGUGAUCAUGGCCUUCAUCAAUGCAAGCAUCAAAGUAAGGGUGGCCAUUUCAGGAG